rnacentral:rRNA from 1 species
GGUUAAAAAGCUCGUAGUUGGAUUUCUGUUGAAGUCAGCCGGUGCACACUUCGUGUGUUAUUUGGCCUGGCUUUGGCAUCCUCUGGGGGAACGUCUCUGGCCUUAAUUGGACAGGGCGAGAUUCCUGACUUUUACUUUGAGGAAAAUAGAGUGUUCACAGCAGGCAAGUGCUUUGAAUACAUUAGCAUGGAAUAAUAAUAUAGGACCUUCGUUCUAUUUUGUUGGUUUCUAGGGCUUAGGUAAUGAUUAAUAGGGACAAUUGGGGGCAUUCGUAUUAACGCGUCAGAGGUGGAAUUCUUGGAUUGCGUUACGACGAACUACUGCGAAAGCAUUUGCCAAAGAUGUUUUCAUUGAUCAAGAACGAAAGUAUGGGGAUCGAAGACGCUUAGAUACCGUCGUAGUCUAUACCAUAAACUAUGCCAACUAGGGAUGUGACGGGUACUCUUUUAUGGCUCGUUGCGCACCUUAUGAGAAAUCAAAGUUUUUGGGUUCCGGGGGGAGUAUUGUCGCAAGGCCGAAACUUAAAGGAAUUGACGGAAGGGCACCACCAGGAGUGGAGCCUGCGGCUUAAUUUGACUCAACA